rnacentral:rRNA from 1 species
GACGAACGCUGGCGGCGUGCUUAACACAUGCAAGUCGAACGGAAAGGCCCUGCUUUUGUGGGGUGCUCGAGUGGCGAACGGGUGAGUAACACGUGAGUAACCUGCCCUUGACUUUGGGAUAACUUCAGGAAACUGGGGCUAAUACCGGAUAGGAGCUCCUGCUGCAUGGUGGGGGUUGGAAAGUUUCGGCGGUUGGGGAUGGACUCGCGGCUUAUCAGCUUGUUGGUGGGGUAGUGGCUUACCAAGGCUUUGACGGGUAGCCGGCCUGAGAGGGUGACCGGCCACAUUGGGACUGAGCUACCGCCCAGACUCCUACGGGAGGCAGCAGUGGGGAAUAUUGCACAAUGGGCGGAAGCCUGAUGCAGCAACGCCGCGUGCGGGAUGACGGCCUUCGGGUUGUAAACCGCUUUCGCCUGUGACGAAGCGUGAGUGACGGUAAUGGGUAAAGAAGCACCGGCUAACUACGUG